AACGUCAGGUUAGUAAGACCCCUUGAAGACGACAAGGUAGAUAGGACAGAGGUGGAAGUGCAGUAAUGUAUGUAGCUGACUGUUACUAAUCGGUCGAGGGCAUAACCAAA
rnacentral:rRNA from 1 species